rnacentral:misc_RNA from 1 species
ACACCUCAACUCUCAUGGGUUUGCCAUGAUGAGCUUGGACUUUGGGGGUCUUGCUGGCCUAUGGUCAGCUCCUCUCAAAUGGAUCAGCUUGCCAGUGUUUGGUGGCAUCACAAGUGUGAUAACUAUCUACGCUUGUGGCUUUCCACCAGGUAACCUUCAGUGAUGAAGGUUCGCUGGGGCUUAUAAAAUGUCUCUCCUCAGUGGAGACGGCUUUUUUGAAU